rnacentral:tRNA from 1 species
UUAAAAAAAAGCUAAAUUAAGCUUUUGGGCUCAUACCCCAAAUAAAAAAGAAAAUUCUUUUUUUUAAA